rnacentral:rRNA from 1 species
GAUGAACGCUGGCGGCGUGCCUAAUACAUGCAAGUCGAGCGAACGGACGAGAAGCUUGCUUCUCUGAUGUUAGCGGCGGACGGGCGAGUAACACGUGUAUAACCAACCUAUAAGACUGGGAUAACUUCGGGAAACCGGAGCUACUACCGGAUGAUAUUUUGAACCGCAUGGUUCAAAAGAGAAUGACGGUCUUCCUGUCACUUAUAGAUGGAUCCGCGCUGCAUUAGCUAGUUGGUAAGGUACCGGCUCACCAAGGCGACGAUGCAUAGCCGACCUGAGAGGGUGAUCGGCUACACUGGAACUGAGACACGGUCCAGACUCCUACGGGAGGCAGCAGUAGGGAAUAUUGCGCAAUGGGCGAAAGCCUGACGCAGCAACGCCGCGUGAGUGAUGAAGGUCUUCGGAUCGUAAAGCUCUGUUGUUGGGAAAGAACAUAUGUGUGAUUACCCCUGCAUGUUCUGACGGUACCCAAUCAGAAAGCCCCGGCUAACUACGUG